rnacentral:rRNA from 1 species
GGAUUAGAUACCCGGGUAGUCCACGCCGUAAACGAUGAGUGCUAAGUGUUAGAGGGUUUCCGCCCUUUAGUGCUGAAGUUAACGCAUUAAGCACUCCGCCUGGGGAGUACGGCCGCAAGGCUGAAACUCAAAGGAAUUGACGGGGGCCCGCACAAGCGGUGGAGCAUGUGGUUUAAUUCGAAGCAACGCGAAGAACCUUACCAGGUCUUGACAUCCUCUGAAAACCCUAGAGAUAGGGCUUCUCCUUCGGGAGCAGAGUGACAGGUGGUGCAUGGUUGUCGUCAGCUCGUGUCGUGAGAUGUUGGGUUAAGUCCCGCAACGAGCGCAACCCUUGAUCUUAGUUGCCAUCAUUAAGUUGGGCACUCUAAGGUGACUGCCGGUGACAAACCGGAGG